rnacentral:rRNA from 1 species
AGCGAACGCUGGCGGCGUGCCUAACACAUGCAAGUCGAACGUGAAAGGGAGCAAUCCCAAGUAAAGUGGCGUACGGGUGAGUAACACGUAGGUAAUCUACCCCAGAAUCUGGAAUAACCGGCCGAAAGGCUGGCUAAUACUGGAUAGAGCGACGGAAUCCGUAAUUGGGUUUUUCGGGAAAGGGAGCCUGUAAAAAGGCCUUCGUUCUGGGAUGAGCCUGCGUCCCAUCAGCUAGUUGGUGAGGUAAAAGCUUACCAAGGCAAUGACGGGUAGCUGGUCGGAGAGGACGAUCAGCCACACUGGAACUGAAACACGGUCCAGACUCCUACGGGGGGCAGCAGUGGGGAAGCUUGCGCAAUGGACGAAAGUCUGACGCAGCAACGCCGCGUGAGUGAAGAAGGCCUUCGGGUUGUAAAGCUCUGUCGAGUGGGACGAAAAUGCUUGGAGUUCACAGCUCCAGGAACUGACGGUACCACUAAAGGAAGCACCGGCUAACUCCGUG